rnacentral:sRNA from 1 species
UAUAAUAAUAAAUUCUCUUUUCUAAUCAAUAUUCUUAUUUCUUUCUUUGGAGGGUUGUUGGGUUUUACACCCAACACCAAUGUUGUUGUUGUUGUUGUAGUAGCAGUGUGUGGUACACUGAGGCGGCAGCCCUUGCCGAUGAAGGAAUUCAUCGGGUCAAUCCGGUACAUACAACCGGCUGCCUUGGGAUUGACCCAACACCAAUCUCAUUCCCCAGUGGGACAGACAAAAACACAAGACAGCUCUUGACCAAACCCUGGAUUUUCGGAAGGGUUCCUUCACUCCUCCUGGGAGAUUGAUAAUAACCGCUGGAUGAGUGGAUGUUACCUCCACAGACAUAAACGGCAACCAAACAAAACCAACUUUUUUUAAUUUGUCUAGUACCACACAAUUACUUUUACUUACACUUUGUAUUAACACACCAAACACAAAAAUGAACAAAUAAAAUUUAUAAUCUGC